rnacentral:rRNA from 1 species
UACAGAGGGUGCAAGCGUUGUUCGGAAUUAUUGGGCGUAAAGCGCGUGUAGGCGGCUUUGCAAGUCGGGUGUGAAAGCCCUCAGCUCAACUGAGGAAGUGCGCCCGAAACUGCAGAGCUUGAGUACCGGAGAGGAUGGCGGAAUUCCCAAGUAGAGGUGAAAAUUCGUAGAUAUGGGGAGGAACACCGGUGGCGAAGGCGGCCAUCUGGACGGAUACUGACGCUGAGACGCGAAAGCGUGGGUAGCAAACAGGA